UGCGGAUAAAUUUAUUUAUGGUAGGGGAGCGUUCUAUGUAGGGUGAAGCGUUAGCGUAAGCGGACGUGGACAGCAUAGAAGUGAGAAUGUCGGCUUGAGUAGCGAAAACAUGGGUGAGAAUCCCAUGCCCCGAAACCCUAAGGGUUCCUCCGGCAGGCUCGUCCGCGGAGGGUUAGUCUGGACCUAAGGCGAGGCCGAAAGGCGUAGUCGAUGGAUAACAGGUCAAUAUUCCUGUACCAGAUGUGUUUUGAGAAGGGGGACGGAGAAGGCUAACCAGGCCAGAUGUUGGUUACUGGUUCAAGCGUUCGAGGCUUUGAGAGAUGGAGAAAACAUCUUGAGCUAAGGCGUGAGUACGAGCUGCUACGGCAGCGAAGUUGGUGAUGUCAUGCUUCCAAGAAAAGCCCUAUACUCGUUAAGACACAAAUGCCAGUACCCGAAACCGACACAGGUGGGGUGGUAGAGAAUACCGAGGGGCGCGAGAUAACUCUCUCUAAGGAACUCGGCAAAAUGGCCCCGUAACUUCGGGAGAAGGGGUGCCAGCGAGAGCUGGUCGCAGUGAAGAGGCGCAAGCGACUGUUUACCAAAAACACAGGUCUCCGCUAAGUCGCAAGACGAUGUAUGGGGGCUGACACCUGCCCAGUGCCGGAAGGUUAAGGAAGCUGGUUAGCUUUUAGUGAAGCUGGCGACUGAAGCCCCGGUGAACGGCGGCCGUAACUAUAACGGUCCUAAGGUAGCGAAAUUCCUUGUCGGGUAAGUUCCGACCCGCACGAAAGGUGUAACGAUUUGCGCGCUGUCUCGGAGAGAGGCUCGGCGAAAUAGAAUUGUCUGUGAAGAUGCGGACUACAUACACCCGGACAGAAAGACCCUAUGAAGCUUUACUGUAGUUUGAUAUUGUGCUCGGGCUCUGAAUGCGCAGAAUAGGUGGGAGACGUUGAAAUAGUGCUUGUGGGUACUAUUGAGUCAUCGGUGAGAUACCACUCUUUUAGAGCUAGGGUUCUAACGCUUACCCGUUAUCCGGGAAGCGGACAGUAUCUGAUGGGCAGUUUGACUGGGGCGGUCGCCUCCUAAAAGGUAACGGAGGCGCACAAAGGUUCCCUCAGGCUGGUUGGAAAUCAGUCGUUGAGUGCAAAAGCAGAAGGGAGCUUGACUGUGAGACCUACAAGUCGAACAGGGACGAAAGUCGGUUUUAGUGAUCCGACGGUUCUGCGUGGAAGGGCCGUCGCUCAACGGAUAAAAGUUACUCUAGGGAUAACAGGCUGAUCUCCCCCAAGAGUUCACAUCGACGGGGAGGUUUGGCACCUCGAUGUCGGCUCAUCGCAACCUGGGGCUGAAGUCGGUCCCAAGGGUUGGGCUGUUCGCCCAUUAAAGCGGUACGCGAGCUGGGUUCAGAACGUCGUGAGACAGUUCGGUCCAUAUCCGGUGUAUGCGCAGGAAUAUUGAGAGGAUUUCUCCCUAGUACGAGAGGACCGGGAGGAACGCACCUCUGGUGUGCCAGUUAUCGUGCCAACGGUAAACGCUGGGUAGCCAUGUGCGGAGUGGAUAACCGCUGAAAGCAUCUAAGUGGGAAGCCCACCUCAAGAUGAGUAUUGCCAUGGCUUAAGCCAGUAAGGUCACGGGAAGAACACCCGUUGAUAGGCUCUACGUGGAAGCUUGGUAACAAGUGCAGCGGAGGAGUACUAAUAGACCGAGGGCUUGACCAA
rnacentral:rRNA from 1 species